rnacentral:rRNA from 1 species
UGGGGAAUAUUGCACAAUGGGGCGCAAGCCUGGAUGCAGCGACGCCGCGUGCGGGAUGGAGGCCUUCGGGUUGUAAACCGCUUUUGUUCAAGGGCAAGGCACGGUCUUUGGCCGUGUUGAGUGGAUUGUUCGAAUAAGCACCGGCUAACUACGUGCC